GCCUUGCUAGCUCAAUCGGUAGAGCGUGAGACUCUUACAGCUGCUAAGUUGUCAUCUCAAGGUUGCGGGUUCGACCCCCGCGUGAGGCU